UGCAGUUCUACCAGAAAUUUCUUAUUUCUUGGCUUGGUAUAAGGAAUGUCCAAAACAUUUCUCCAAUGUUCUUUUAUCGUCUCUAACAUCUGUAACCCAAAUCCAAUUGACAUAAUAACCAUAUUCUGAACUCAAGAAAAAAUGGGUAUGACAUAAAUGCAUGGAAUAAUUAGAAGAAACAUUUGGGAAAUAGAGGGAUCUUAGACAUGCGUUAAAUUUUUAUUCCUGGUUUUCUUUAUGAUAUGUGUCAACACUUUGUUGUGUUCCCCUUGUAACCAAUUGUGUUUCUUUUUUGCAAUUUAUAAACUCUGUUUGACUCUGUCAAAAGGAAAAAAAAAAAUGAUCAUACUUAUAUGACAUUGGUUUUUCUUUGCUCUUCAAGAUAUACCCCUACUCAAGUCAUAUGGUUAUUAUUUUCUAUAAUUAGUGAAUUGUUUUUCUGAUAUCUAUAAAGUUUAUCUUGUUGAUUUUGUGAAUCAUUGGAGUGUUUAAAUCUCAUUAUGUUCGUAUUACCAAAUACCAAUUACUAGUUUUUCCCUCGGCUAAGUGGUUCUUGAUUCUCAAGAACUGUGUUUCUAUGAUACUUGGAAAAAAAAAGAAAUGCACUCUAUUUGCAGCACCUUUCUAGCACAAUUGAAGUGAAUAAUAGGAAAAUAUCUAACAUAUAACUGGAUGCUAGGUUGUUGAUCGAAGAACAAAGGGAUUGGUUGAAGAAAUAAUAGAUGGAAAGAUAGUUCUGUCCAUGAGAGCAAUAUAUCAAUCAAAAGUAGGCUUGACACUUAUAAAUACAGGUAUUCCGAUCCAACACCAUAUGGAAUUUUGGAUCUCCAUGUGCAAAAUUUCCAGUUAUUCUAGCAUUCCACAGUGUUAGAGAAUAUGAAACCAUUAUUACCUUGUGAAGUCAAGGGCUUUUUAUAAUUGAUAUUAUUAUCCUGACUUUGCAUCUUAUAGGGUUAUUAUGACAUUCCAGCAUUCCAUUUUAUUUUCGUUGACAUACACUUUUGUUUUCAUUACAAUAUCUGAAUGCAUGAAUUCUGAGUUAAGUUUUUCAUCAUACAAAAAGCUAACAAUUUGCAUUUUGUGCAAGAACAGAGUACGUGCUUGAACUUUUUGUAUGGUUGACUGUAAUCUUUGUACUAAAUUUUGUGAAAAAAGCCCACAUUGUAACAAAGGCUUAAAAAUAAGUUUUUGCUACCUAGCUUGAAAUUAGCUCAACUUCCACCAGCCCUGUUUUGACACGUGCUUGUAUGAUAAAUGCAUAUCAACAAGAAAUCAUGCUCCACAUGUUAUUUCCAAGAAAUCUCUGUUUCAGAUUUAAACUCAUCAUCCAGUUUAUACAUCAUUAAAAGUUCAACAAUACAGCAACACAGUCAUUAUACAAAGUCAUUUACUGAGCAAGGGUGAGUUAUGAGUAUGAAUCUUGCAUCAAGUUUUACAAGAUCUGGAUGGAUUUUGUAUACAUGGGAUCUGACUGAAUAGAUUGGAGAACUCAAAUUUAAAGUGUAAGAACCUGUAAGUCAUCGAUGCAACUAAAACAAUGUAAUAAUCUAAAGUACAUUAAUGAAACGUUCAUAAUGUUUAAGAAACUCUUCCAGUAUGUUAUGUCAUUUUAACCAAUAAAUUUUAAGGUUUUUUUUGCUCACAUAGUGCAAUAAUAUAUGUAGUUAAAUGAUUAAAUCCAAGGGUGGCAAAAGUGCCUAAGGCUCCUACCGGUGCAUGGUCUAGGAAGGAUCCAUGUACAUGACCUUAUCAUCACAAGAGUCGAGGUUGUCUUCGUGACUUAAAUCCUUGCCACAUAUGUUGCAAAAAGUGUCUUCAUGGUUUCUCUAGGUCAAGCAUUAGUUAGUCAAUCAUAAAUUUAUUUUUUGUUCCAAGUUAAUCAAUCGUAAUUGAUAUAUGUCAAUAAACCUCAUCAAAUUCUGAAGGACAAUAAGGAUGAGUUGCAAAUGAAUUGAUUGUAUCAAGUCAUAUUCAUGCUUUUCGUUGUGGGCUUUGUGCUUUCAAGUUUCAACAAACUUAUUGUGACAUUUUUCGUUCUAUUUCUUUUUCAUAAGAAGAAUUGAGGUGCCUUUGAAGCUAUUUUUUCCUUGGUGAACUUUUCUGUUGCUAUAUACCUCUGUCACGUACUCACAUGUGAUGUUUUCUAUAGUAGUUCUGCAUACUUUUGCUUACAAAAUUUCUAUUCAAUAUUUUCCUUAUGUAUAGGAGUUAAGGACCUCUUACAAAACAUCUCAGAGAAGCAGGGGAAGCGGAUGAAUUCACAUGAAUCUGCCAAAGACAUACCAAAGUUCAUUGAAUUCUUUAUAGUAAGGACCCUUUGUUUUUAUUCUUUAGUUAGAAUUCUAGUAUUAUACUCAAUCAUAAAAUUAGGUGUAAAUGAAGAAAAGAGAGCAUGUGCACCUAUAUACACCAUGCAUACUAAGGGCUUAAAUUUUGAAAAUACUUGUGACUGUAAUAAUAAUUAGUAACCUGCCAUUUUGAUGAUUACAAAUUUCCUUCAGAUCUUUAAUGAAUUACUUCCUAUUUCUCCAUCUACUAGGAACCACAUUAUCUCCAUGCUGAAGGUGUAGACCAAAAAAAAUCGCUCAAAGCUAAUAAGCUUCUAGUAAGGAAAUAUACAAAGUACAAACAAUCAUUUCCUAUGAAUAAAGAGGCCUUUUGCCUGGUAGAUAUGUAGAAUGAAGGCGAAGGAUCCAUGAAUUUAAUGUUUAUUAAGGAAUGCCUACAAGAUGUUUGUCAUCUUCUCUUGUUAGGGUUCAAAUGACCUGAUAUAGGAGUCAAAAUAUAGAUCAUGAUAUUGUGACAUUAGCCAUGCUAUAAAAAGAAUAUUAUUUUUUACUGGUUAAAGGAAUAAUAGAAUUGCUUCAUUGUUAUAGGAUACUGCUCAUAUACUUUUGGGGCAUAUACUUCAUUGUUUUACUAUUCAUAUUGUUAUCGGAAAUGCUCACUAUGGUUAAGUAUGAUUUUGAAUAUAUACUUUUGGAAAGUUAAUAGGAAUGAAUCAUCUAUUUCUAAACAUUGUUUAUUUAAGGAAGAUUUUUUAUAGCCUUUGGAACAUGGAAUGUUGUGUUUGAUAAUACCGCGUCCGUUAAAAAUUUAAAUCUUUUUAAAUCCAUACUUCCUGAAAUAAGACUCUAGAGACAUGUGAUUUUCAAAUGCAGAUGUUCUUACUAUGACUUGAUAUCAAGGUUUUUUUUUUCAGGUGCAUACUCUGUUGGAAUGAAAAAAAGAUAUCAAGAUUUUUUCAGUACAUAUCAUGUUUAAAAAAAAAAAUCCAGAAGAAAGUUAAAGUUUAAUAGGUGUAUGAAAAAAUGAUUUCAGAAAAAAAACCAUGUAUCAGGCGGUACGCCUUGAACUCGACAGUUGUUGAGCUCCUCUCACUUUUCUUCUUUUUCUUCUCUUGAGGUUUUGGAAUUAAUUAAAAUGGGCUCAUAACUAUUCUGAUGCUUAUGAUGAAUGCCUCAGAGACAUACACAUAUUAUUUUGCUUUUCCUCCUUUACAUCCUUCUCUUCACUUUCCCUUCCUAUGGUGGCCAUCCAGACAGAUGUGGCCUCCUAAUUGUUUUCUUUCUGAGUUGGUGAAUUGGUUGGAAUUGGCUGAAAUGUGCCUACUUUGGGGUAGUACAAUUAAUUAAAACUGAUCAUGGCUAGUUUCUGCUGGCUGAGAAAUCAACUAAAAUUGUGUCAGCCUUGGCCAACACCAAUGAAAAUGAGAUGAUAAUAUAUCAGAAUCAGCUAAUACUUCAAACUUGGAUAACAUAAUAUAUGUGUUCUAGGUGGAUAUUUAGUAAACCUAAAAGAAUAUAGUCUUGGCCAGAUAAUUGUGAUUUGCAGAGCAGGAAUCAUUGUAUUCUGCAAAAUAUGAAGAUUCUGUGCUAAAUGGAUAACAUAACAGAGCAAAUAAUCGAACAUUAGUUGACCAUAGCAGAGCCAACAAGAAUGUGCAGGGUUGCUAUCUGUUCUUAGUGGUCUAUCAUCCAUUACUUUGUCAAAACUUCAGAAUUCUUCAGGAAGGCAGUUUAUUUUUAUCUAAAUUUAAUACACAAUUAGUAGGGGGCUCUUCUUACACUGUUUUCUUUCUAAUUUGCUACCAUUUCACAUUAUUAUAUGAAGGUAAUUAUAGUUUUAUAUGAACUUUUUAUAGUUUGCUUUAUGUACUGUUAUUUGUCUAAGAUAUUUGACUAAGAUCCAGAGAUGGUAUUGUUACUCUAAUUCCAGUUUUCUUAGUGUUGUGAAACUGAAGAUGACGUCCAACAACAAGAAUAAACAAAAUUAUCAAACACUGGGCUCUUUAGUUGGCAUUCGGCAAGCCUGACAUUUGCACUAUGCCAAUUCCUCUUUAAAUUUUAGUUUUAUUUAUUCUGUAUAUACAUCAUGGUAUUCUUGUUACAAUUUUUGUUUAAUCCAUUAUUUUUUCAACGUCCAAUUAUGCUGGUGCAGGGUCAACUUAAAAUGGAUGAGGCCAAGUAUCCAAUUGAAUAUUUCAAGGUAUUUUCCCAAAUUUAGUUAUCAUCAACAAUUUUCAUGUUUUGCAUCAUAUUUAUUAUAUCUUCUUUAUAGUUUGCUAGGGUUUCAACUGAAAGAGAGUAGGAGGUAAUAUGAGUGUCUCUUGUGACAUGAAUACUUGAUGAAUGGUAAACUAAUGGCAGUACGAAACAAGUGGUGUGAUGGAAACAGUAGCUCAAUCAUAAUGCUAGUUGAGGAUUCAAAUCUUGGUUUGGUACUGGUUUAGGUAACCGAUUGAACUGAUAUGGUAUUGGUAUACCAGCUCAUACCACCCAAUAUCAAUAGAUAAUUCAAUAGCAACCCGUAGCAACCUAUGGGGUCCAGAACCCAGUCCUUCCUUGGACCAUUAAUGCAAUGGGUAGUACUGAUCCUCCCAGUAUUUGAUUCCUUGCUCCUUGUUAUUGAAACCUUGCAAGAAGCUUUUGUUUUUCUGAUUUUCCCUCUUUACAUUUCAACUUGUGACAGCUUUUGAAGAAGUUCCUUUAUGCACACCUUUGGCAGCUUUAACCUUACGAAGGAAUCUAAAUUGCUUUAAUUGUACUGCAAUUGCCACCUGCAAAAUGCUCAUUUGAUGUACUCAAAAUUCUUUAUUAGUUGAUUUGAUCUUCUUUUGUUAACUCAUGUUCUGUACUCAAGGAAUAACUUGAACUAGUAAAAAUGAAAUAUCUGAUUAAAUACAUUAUGAUGUCAUCACUCAUAAUAAGACAAGCAGAAUAAGUGAAUGUUUGCAGUCUGUGUAUCCAACACCUCCAAAUAAUAGUUUUCUAAAUCUCAAACUGGCAUUUGCCAACAUUUUACUAGAUCCUUAUUGACAAUCAGAGCUCUAAGACAAUUCUUGUGAAUUCCAUAUCAUUUUUCAGUUGCCUUAGCAAAAAGCAUGUGAACAAGGCAAAAUAGAGUGGUGGAAGAAUGUUACAAACGAUAUCUACAAAUGUUGUUCGCUGGCUAAUUGAGAGAUAACUGUGAAUUACAUCCUGUAAACAUUGGAAAGACAAAAAAGAAAAGAAAUGUUGUAGACCAGAUUUUGGGGCUUGAACAAAUGGUUGCUUCCAUAUAUAAACAUUGAUGUUUUUCAAGUCAACCUUGAUGUACUCUAUCUCUAAAUUGAUUUGACCAAUACUUUAUAAUCAGUAAAAUAGGGCAGAUAUAUCAAUUGGAAUCUAUCACUGACAAAUUACUUUCUCAAAUUAUAUCUCUUAUAUGGUUUCAGUCAUAAGAAAGGUUGUUUGAAAUUUGAUGGAAGAGGCAGAAGAUGUAAAAGCUUCUGUUGUGUAAUGCUAAAUUUUGGAUAAAGUAGGAUAUGAUGUUGCUUUUUUUAUAUCUUUGGUGGAUUCAAAACACUUGUUGCUCAGUAAUUUUACAUAAACUGUAUCAAAGAGGAUAUAUAUCCUGUAAUCAUCUUAUUCUUAAGAGAUAAUUGCCCUCCUAAUUUUAAAUAUAUCUACUGCAGACCUUUAACGAGUUCUUUAUACGAGAGUUGAAGCCUGGUGCAAGACCAAUCGCUUACCCUGAACGUGAUGACAUUGCUGUCUGUGCAGCUGAUUGCCGCCUGAUGGCUUUUAAUUCUGCUAAUGAGAGUUUAAGGUUUUGGAUUAAGGUGAAAUUUAUUCUUCCAGGUGUUUUUUCCAUAUUAUAAUAUAAUUAUAUUUUUUUGACAAUUUAAUGAAAAACAUUGUGGAACAUUUAUCAUAAAGCUGUUGUCAUUUGAUAUCUUAUCAAAAUCAUUACUUGAUAGAUUCAUCUUUCUUUCUUGAUGAUCUUUAGUAACUUACUUUCACCAUUUUCUAAUAUGCAAUUUUGAUAUGACAAAAUUUGUUUCAAGAAGAUAGAAACUGGGAAAGAUAAGCAUUUCUUUCUAACUAUUCUAUUCUUCCUGACUCAAGAAGAGUUCUCGACUUUGGCUUUUCUCCUAGGAUUAUCAAAAAAUAAACAAAAGCUCUUAAACAGAAGGACAAGUAGUACUUUAGCUCCAUAUGCAUUGUAACCUGAAAUAAGGUGAUCAUUUGCUAAACUCCAAUAUCCAUAUUAUCCAAAACGAUAUAGGUGAUCUAUGUCAGUGAAACUUAAUGUAUUGCCAUCUAUUAUUUACAGUCAUGUGUAUGCAAUAUAUUGUACAAUACACUUAGUGUGACUCCUUAUUUUACUGUUGGAACUUCUUUUGAGUACAGAAAUCAAGUAAAGAAAUUGCAUGUGUAUUGAGGACAUAGAAACAAAGAUUUAGGUACUGCCAAGUGUUAAUAACUUGAGAAAGUAAUGGCCACCUAACAUAUAUUUAUUUAAGCUUACAGGGCCGAAAGUUCUCUAUUCAAGGCCUUCUAGGGAAGGAUACAUGCUCUAGUGCCUUUGUUGAUGGAUCUUUAGUAAUUUUUCGACUGGCUCCACAGGUGUAGCUCUCACCAUAACUGCUUGUAAAAUGAUAUUUGAAUUUGUUAUUAUAUGUUAAAUGUUACCAUUUAGUCAUUUCGUGGUUGCAGGAUUACCAUCGUUUCCAUGUUCCUGUCUCUGGUACAAUCGAAAGUUUUGUGGAUAUUCCAGGAUAUUUAUAUACAGUAUGUGCAUAUGUUCAUUUUUCAAGUCAAAAUAACUUCCUCUUCUAUUUUAGCUUUGUCUCUUUUAAGGUUAGGCUUUUAAUAAACAGUAUAUACAUGUUUUCUUUUAUCCUGUCAAAAUAUCUUCCUGUAAUUUCUUUAGCUUUUGUCUCUUUUAACCUUAUCAUUAAGAACUGUUUGAUCCUAAUUUGUGAUUUUCUGAUGAAGGUGAACCCAAUUGCUGUAAACAGUAAGUACUGUAAUGUUUUCACCGAGAACAAACGAGUUGUAUCUAUCAUCUCAACAUCAGAAUUUGGGAAGGUUUGUACUUUCUAUAAUAUAAUGAACUUAAAUCUUUCUAUGUUAAGGGUUAUCCAUGUUCUGAAGUAUUUUGCCUAUAUUUUCUUCUGAACAAUGUGAAUUAGCUCAUAGUUCAUACUUCAUAGUAUAUCUUCAAGAUGUCUAUUGGUUUAUAAGAGGCUGUUUUAGUCUGAAUUUAUUCUUCAAAGCCCAUGCAUUACAAUAAAGCAGACACUUUGGUCAUUCUUCUAUGACAAUGGACAAGCUAUGACUAUUUACCUGUAUUACCAGUUGUUUUUUUGUUCUAUUAUUGAUAUAUUCAUUUUUUCAUUAUUGUAUGAGCAAUGCUAUACGUUUCCAUGAAUAUAAUUAUUUCUGUAUAUAUUUAGUCCAACCAAUAGAUAUAAAUACUUCCCCAGAAAACUAAAAGGAAUUUCCUUCAUAAGAAACUUCUGUUAUUGGAGGAAUUUCACUUUCCUAUUUUGUAACAAAUACAAUCUCUUGAACUGUUGACUUUGUUGGAGUUAGAAUUUUCCAGCAGUCAUUAUUUUCCUUUCAAUUAUCCUACAACGCAUCUGUCUAAAUCUACUUACUACCAAGUGGAUAUUUCUAGUUGAAUAGAGCUGCAAAUAACUAGGGCAUUUGGGCUCUUCUGUAGAAUAAUUUUUUCGAUAUAACAAGCGUACUAGCAUUCCUAUUUUCUUCACAUUUAUUUACAGGUGGCAUUUGUUGCAAUUGGAGCUACAAUGGUAGGAAGCAUUACCUUUACAAAGAAUGAGGGUGACUAUGUCCAUAAAGGAGAUGAGGUUCUUUCUUUUUAUUUUGAUUUAUUACUUUGCUCCACCCUACGUGGAAAAAAGAUAUUAUAUGCUCUUAACAUAAUAUCUUUUUACUUAUUUCUCAGUUUGGGUAUUUUUCAUUUGGUGGAAGCACUGUGAUAUGUGUCUUCGAAAAGGUUUGUCUUCUGAUUCAUGCCUCAGAAAUCAUCUUAUUUCCUCCAUUAUUAUACAAAAUAACCUUUCUGCUGGAAAUUAUAGAACUCUUUUCAUACCAAUAGUAAGCUAUGUUUCUAUAGAUUUUUGUGGUUUUUUAAGAUAAUUCAUAUCAUGGUCUGCAGUACCGGACUGUACCGCCCGGUACGGGCGGUACGUACCGGUCCGACAGGCUUCUGGUACGCGGAAUAUACCGUUCGGUACACCUGGGUGUACCGCUCGGUAUACCGGACCGUACCGGUACUGAGCCUAGGUCGAAACUCCGGUACGAUACGGUAUUGCGGACCUUGAUUCAUAUAACAAGAAAUCAGAAGAUCCUAUAUACGUACGGUCGAAUUCAUGGAUAUUUUGUUUGUCAUUAAGAGGCCAAUAUCACUAUUCAAACUAAGAUCCAUUGCAAGGUUUUGUGUCUUGGUCUGAGACCGAUACCAACCCCUGGUCUAGACUGGUAUGGGUUCAUCAUGUACCAGUGCACACACGCUACCUCAUCAUGCCGGGAGUGAAAAUGGGAGGAGGGGAGCAGAAUAAAACAGAUAAAAGUAUACACUUGCUGCACUGACCGCUUCUAGUUUGAUUUCAUUGCAUUUCUCAUUAGUUGUACGCAUCUGAUGGUAAAACACUUUCUUAUUAGUGGUCAUCACUUUUCUUAAAUCAAUAGCUCUCCUUAUUCGUCGUUAUCCAUUAUCAUCCAUCUAUUGUUUGAUUUCUGCAGGACGCCAUUCAGAUAGACGAGGACCUUCUUUCAAACAGUGAAAGAUCACUUGAGACUCUAGUUUCUGUAGGUAUGAGAUUAGGCAUCUCCAAAAGGUCCGGAAGAAUAGAUGAACUGCCAAACAUGGAAACAUGCAAGUUAGAAGCAUGAUGGUGCUGCGUACGCUGCGGAAGACUACAAUGUUGUGUUUGACAUUGCUUCUCUUUAACAUAAGUGAUUUUUAAAACAAGUGUAUGAAAAUAAUUACAUGUUUGUUAAUAUGUUUGAUUGCAAAAAAAUGUGUUAACUUCAUGUGAUUCUAAAAGUAACCUUUUUACGAAUGUCAAUUAUAAUAUCAUGAUAUAUAAUUUCGAAUUGUACCAUUCAGUACGGAUGGUACGUAUUGAUUCGACGAUAUAUCGGUACACGAAUCAUUCGUUAUCGGACGGAUCGUGCUACAGUGCUAUAGUGUUAUACUGUAACAAUGUUAUAGUACUACAGAAAAAAUCGUUCGAUAAGUCCUAGUAUAUCAUUCGGUAUGUCAUAGUAUAUCGCUUAAUACAUUACUACCAUAUUGUAUCCAGUCAACCUCGAAACAUCGGUACGAUAUGAUAUUACAUACCUAAUGCGACGAUGGUGACGAUAGCGGUGAUGAAUGAUAUGAUUGUGAUGAUAUUAAUGGUGAUCUUAUGAUAGUUAAAAGUAAUAAGGGUAACUGAUAAAUUCAUUAAAGGAGGAACUGUAUGCAAUUUUUCUGACAACGACAUGGCGGCAGCCACAACCCGCUGCAUGGUCGAAACGUGUCGACCACCGCCACCAGCGUGUCCACCUCUCGCCACGUGUGGCAUUGGCCGCCCUCUCAUGCAGCGUGGCCGCGUGUCCCGUGUUGCCGCCCUUGUCUUCCUGUUGGAGUACACGGCUGUUCCCUUACGCCUUUCGUGUUACACCCACCCAACCCAAGGAGGCAGAGUGAGAUGGAGAGGACAUCUUCCAUAGAGUUAGAGCCUCGAACUCUCACGUACGCUGAGCUCCAGAAUGCGAGGGUAACUUGCUCUUCUUUCUUCUUCAGAAGAGAUCUGUGUGGUACAUGUGAUCCACUCGUGGGUUGCUGAUGCAUUUUUGUUCCAUCGUUUCUUGGUGUUUCAGGAGGCAGCAAUGUUGAUACUGAGCAGCAAGUCCUUAGAAGAAGCCAUUAAGAUCUUCACAGAGGUAAGAAGACCCGAAGGUUUGAGAUCAUCAUGCUAUAUAGGUCCAAUAGUUCAGGGUUCAGUUGUUAAUUGGUGAUUUGUUGACCGUUCUCUCAACAGGGUGUAAAACCAGUGCCGUGCAUAAAAGACAAAACUUACAUCAAUCAUGUAGAUAACGAUGACGAGGAGGAAGAAGAGGACGACGACGAGAUGAUGGAUUACCUUGAAAUGGAGCAAACGUAUCGGCCAUCGUUUUAGCUGUUCGUCGCUUCUUUUGUUGCCCGUAUUGACGGCAUGAGUUGCUAAAAGAUUUUUGAGAGGAAGAGGGGGAGAUGUUUGUGAGGGAGAUCGAAGGACGUGAUCCGAGUACUUCUCAGUUCGCUUGUACAGAAAAGAUACAACUUAUACAGCAUAUUUGAUGUGCCAUCGGCAUUUGUUAUAUUGUGUGUAGGUUCUCUAUAUCCUCUAUAACCUAAGAAAGCUCCGAUAAGGGGACAGAUGUGUUGCGAUGGAGUGGGCAAAGGAUAAUCUGUUAAGGCUAUGACGAGGGGGCAGAGGUGUUGUGAUGAAUUGCGAUGUCGAGAAGACGGAGGGAGGGAGAAAGGACUGUGUGAUAGAAAGAAAAAAAGAGAGAGAUAGUGAUGAACUAUCUUCGUUGUUCAUUAUUCGUCGUCAGAGAAAUUAUCUUUUCUCGAUAGAGUAUGAUGGAGAAAUCAUUUUUUCUUGAUGGAGUAUGAUGAAGGAUUGACAAAGAUGAAGUCAAACAAUCGAUAUUGAGAGCCUACAAUUAGGGAUUAAGUAUGCACGGGCUACGGGGAGGAUUUAUUGUUGUAGUUUUAUCUUAUGUAAUUUGAAUUGAUAAUUUAGUAUAUUUAAUGUUGGAGCUAAACAUUUUAAUUCGUGUACGAGUACGGGUAUGAGAUGAGAAGUAUUCUAUUCGUCCUCAUCUCGUAUUUAUAUAUAUAAUAUAAAGUAUCUCUUGUAUAUAUAUAUAUAUAUAUAUAUAUAUAUAUAUAUAUAUAUAUAUAUAUAUAUAUAUAUAUAUAUAUAUAUAUAUCCAAAUAAGCUCUCUGCUAUCAUCAGCCAUUUUCCCUUCUUUCUUCGCAUUACUAAUCAUUAUUCCUCAAUUCCAUCAAUCUGUGUGUGUUUCCUUGCUGAGAUCCAUCAGGCAGUUUAGUAAUCUGAUGAUCGAAAUGCACAGGCAAGCUACAAAGUCAAACAGCAAGAGAAACAGGGACAGAAUCAAUGUGCCAUGGCUCUCUCACACAAACAGAAUCUGAAGUGAACAAUGAGAAUCUUCAACUAUUAAUAGGUCCAAAUCCAUACAAUGAAAUCUACAAUCUGCUUAAUCCAAAAGGCAGUAUAUUUAAGCAAACAAAAAAGGAGGAAAUAGUUGAGACAGUGAUGAUGUGAAAAUAGAACAUCUGCUCUUUAUUCCCCUCAGAAACAACUAGGCAUCAGCAAAUAGCAGCAGUAGGCAAUACAGGUGACCGUCUUUCUCACUGAAGGAUCAGGCAACCUUCUGGGAAGUGAUUGGCAGCGACCGCUGUCGUCGAGGACUGGUGUGGUGUUCCUUUAUUCUCUUCAGGCUCAAUCUUUUCCUCCUCAGACUCCAGACCAGUGGCCUCAAAGAUGUAAGCUUUCACUUCUUCAAACCUAGCCUCAGAAAGGGAGACCUCAGCCAAUAGCCUCCAAGCAUAUUCCUCUGAUGCCUCUUCAUAAUCCUUCUUCCGCUUCAGCACCAUGUGCCCACUAAUCUCCCACACAGCAGGAUUCACUUGAGUAUCUAAGAUCUCCUGGCUCACUUCACCCAGAGCUUGUUUCUCAGCAUAGCACUGCAAAGUUUGGAAAGACAGAGAACUGAUUAGCAAGGUUCUUUGUUAUCAUAAAGUAGAUACUUGUUUAAUGUUAAGAGUGCUUAUAAACUUCUUCAACUGAGAAAGGGCAGUAAAAGAAGAGUGCUGCUAGAAAAGUGCAAGCUCAAUUGGGGAACUCCUAUGUCAGUGUGAGUAGUAGUAUCUAGUUCCUUGAAGCAUCCAUCUAUUGAUUAAUUGUGAAUUUGUUGAUUGACAAAGGAUUCUAUCUCUCAUGCUUUGCCACAGCAAAUUCAACAACUUCUCUAUUAAUUGAGAGUCUCCAGAGGCAUGAAGGCAUUACACAAUGUAAUGAGAAUCAUGUUAUAGAAUAGUAACAUGCCAAUGAAUUGUAGAAGUGAAUAGAGGCAGUUAAUCAAGUGAAUCGUAAGUACUAAUCACCCUCCGACACUGAGAAGUGAAAUAUAAUGACUGAAAUAGCAUAAAUCUCCUAAAAGUUAAGCAUCCAAAGCAAACAAUUUUUAUAUACCACCCAUAUGGCACUACAUUUAGAUAAAUUGAUUUGGAAAAAUCUCUCCAGAAGCCUUGUAUCUAAUUUGUGAUGCUUCCUCACCCUAUCUGUCACAUGAUUUACCUGGAUCAAACCUACUUCAUAUGUGAAAAGCAUUUCUCUUGUUUGUUUGCCAAGGAAAAAAACAAGAGAAGAAUCCACAAAACUACCAACAAGAUUAAUCAACACUAGGAUAAACAGAGGUGGGUAGGAAUGACAACGGUAAUUUAAUUUACCUGGGGGAAGAGAAAAAUCCUCCGGCCUGAAUCAGAGAUAAGAACAUUAAAUGGGAUAUUGUUCUCUUGAAGACAGAUGCAGGAGUUGGCAACAACAUCAGAUAAGUCUUUCAAAGUGUUUCCUCCUUCGUAAACAAGGCCCCUCACAGGAUAAUUGAGCAACUUUGAAACCUUAACUUUGCUCUGGGACAGACCUUUAACAACUGGAAUCCUUUGUGUAGGAGCUUUCUCCACUGGGAAGGGCAUGGUUAAGAAAUAAGCCUGUCAUGACAAGCAAAGCAUUUCGUCAAUCUCUUCAUUGAGGUGCCAUUGUCUUGUGUCAAUCUAAGAGUAGUUAUAAGUGGAGAAAAAUUAGCAAGACUGAGCAAGGCUGGAGAUUUACCUGGAAGUGAAGGUGAUUAAUGGUGGCAAAGGCACCCAAGCUAUUGUACCCGAGCCUGAAGU
rnacentral:lncRNA from 1 species